GGCUCAGAUUGAACGCUGGCGGCAGGCCUAACACAUGCAAGUCGAGCGGAUGAGAGGAGCUUGCUCCUGGAUUCAGCGGCGGACGGGUGAGUAAUGCCUAGGAAUCUGCCUGGUAGUGGGGGACAACGUUUCGAAAGGAACGCUAAUACCGCAUACGUCCUACGGGAGAAAGCAGGGGACCUUCGGGCCUUGCGCUAUCAGAUGAGCCUAGGUCGGAUUAGCUAGUUGGUGAGGUAAUGGCUCACCAAGGCGACGAUCCGUAACUGGUCUGAGAGGAUGAUCAGUCACACUGGAACUGAGACACGGUCCAGACUCCUACGGGAGGCAGCAGUGGGGAAUAUUGGACAAUGGGCGAAAGCCUGAUCCAGCCAUGCCGCGUGUGUGAAGAAGGUCUUCGGAUUGUAAAGCACUUUAAGUUGGGAGGAAGGGCAGUAACUUAAUACGUUGCUGUUUUGACGUACCGACAG
rnacentral:rRNA from 1 species